rnacentral:tRNA from 1 species
GUAGGUAUAGCUUAAUGGUAUAAUGCAUGCUUAGCACGCACCAGAUCCUGGGUUCAACCCCAGUACCUCCA